GUUGUAGCUCAGUGGUAGAGCACUUGCCUUGCAUGCAAAAGGCCCUGGGUUCAAUCCUCAGCACACA
rnacentral:tRNA from 1 species